CACCUCGGCGAGAUUUUGGCGGCGCGAGUAAAGUGAGCUGGCUGCCGCGCCUGCGGUCCGAGUCUCACGGCUCACAGGCCCGCACCCUGGCCUCCGAAGGGGUGGCGGCGGGCCGGCGCUGGUGGGUGGCAGGCCGGGCCUCGCGCUCUUCUCAGGGUCCUCCGCCGCCGCCAGGCGCUCGCUCGAUUCCGUCCGUGCAGAUUGAGGGCCAGGAGCCGCCAGGCUGCUCCCGCGCCUCACGUCCAGACAGGGGGGAGGUCAGCGCAGGUACCCCGAGGCGUGCAGGCUGGAAUAACCCGCGUCCGGAAAAGACGGGUCACCAAAACCUUGAAGUGAUUCCUUUCGCCCAAGAUGGUUUAAGCAAGAACUCAAACUCAUGGAAUAAAAGGAGGACCCAGGAAUACACUGCCGGCAGCCCACUAACCACUACGUGACACUGCCUCUGUUUACCGUUCGUUUCUUGUCCUGGCACAGCAGACCACACAUUCGUCAGGUCCUCAUGUGAUCGGGCUCAUCACAUCGCUCCCCAUCUGCUGGGACAUGGUGCCAGUACGUGACCCAGAAAUCGAGGGCCGUACAGAGGAUGGACAGAUGCACCUGGGCCAGGAGACAAGAAUACAGGCGACUGCAGGGGGCGCCUGCGUGGCACAGCGGUUAAGCGUCUGCCUUCGGAUCAGGGUGUGAUCCUGGCGUUGUGGGAUCGAGCCCCACAUCAGGCUCUUCUGCAAUGAGCCUGCUUCUUCCUCUCCCACUC